rnacentral:lncRNA from 1 species
CAACAAACUCCCUUCCAAAUUUUGGCUGUACGCACAAUGACAUCCAGAAAGUCUCAGUACAAAUAGGUCUUCAUCCUUUCUCUUCCUAUGUGCAAAUGUAAAAUGAUCUCAGAAAAGUUUUUCACUUCCUAAAGUAUAUACCAGCUAUGAAUGACAGGAGGUUUUAUCAUGGCUGGUUUGGAAUAAAUACGAGCAGAUCUGUCAGGGUCCAGAAAUGCAAAAUGAAAUUUGACAUUCAGUCAUUCUGCCAAAAAGGAAUCACAAAAAGCAUGCAAAGUGCAAAUACACAAAUAAGAUUGGAUGCAUGUUCAAAUUCCAAGGAAGAAAAAUAUGGAACAGGAGUAACUAGACCCAUCAUCUACAGGAGAACUGUAGAGAAUCCUUCCGGACUGAGGCCACGUCUGACUGAUGUUUCACCAUGCACUGUAAAACUGCUGAAGACCAUCCUUUGCAGUCAGUGUGGCAGAAUAAAUAUUUCUUUUCUCCUACAGCUGGUUCAGUGAAGACUUUUGGUGAGGCAACAACAACCUCUGGAUUUUAGUGAUUUUCCUACUAGUAGAUGAGCAUCUUUCUCUCAAAGAUAUCUCUAUUAGAUCAGUGAGGACUCUAUCUGUCUGCCAGUGCUCUUUACUUCCUGCUAGUACACAUUACUAGUUUAGCUCAGAUGUCACUGAAAAUCCUAGUUCUGAAUCUUGGAAAUGCUGUGGGUUUUGGUUUUCAUUUUGAAAAUUUAGAGCUAAAGUUAUUUGUUACUCAUAUUUCAAUCUACAUACUUUCAGAUGCUGAUCAUCUUAACUGUCUUGUAGGAUUAUCACAAGUAUAUGCAGAUGAUUGGUAAGAUUUUUCUGAAGUUUUUAAGUGAAAGACUUUCCUUGAGUCCCCCGUGGGUUGGUUCAUCCUGCAUACCAGAAAUCCACUUUCAAACUGAAGACAGUCAUGUGCAAAUUAGAUAUUUUAGGUUCUCAAUGCAAUUUACAGGAAUAAUUAA